AGUGAACGCUGGCGGUAGGCCUAACACAUGCAAGUCGAACGGCAGCACAGUAAGAGCUUGCUCUUACGGGUGGCGAGUGGCGGACGGGUGAGGAAUACAUCGGAAUCUACUUUUUCGUGGGGGAUAACGUAGGGAAACUUACGCUAAUGCCGCAUACGACCUACGGGUGAAAGCAGGGGAUCUUCGGACCUUGCGCGAUUGAAUGAGCCGAUGUCGGAUUAGCUAGUUGGCGGGGUAAAGGCCCACCAAGGCGACGAUCCGUAGCUGGUCUGAGAGGGUGAUCAGCCACACUGGAACUGAGACACGGUCCAGACUCCUACGGGAGGCAGCAGUGGGGAAUAUUGGACAAUGGGCGCAAGCCUGAUCCAGCCAUACCGCGUGGGUGAAGAAGGCCUUCGGGUUGUAAAGCCCUUUUGUUGGGAAAGAAAAGCAGCAGGUUAAUACCCCGCUGUUCUGACGGUACCCAAAGAAUAAGCACCGGCUAACUUCGUG
rnacentral:rRNA from 1 species